UGAAAGCUUUCAAUGAGAAAAAUUCCUGGUUUCUGUGGCUUUCCUUCGUAAUGCUCAAGUACAUGGGAAUUUCUACUGGAUAUUUAUUGCUAUUUAUGGUAAAAGGACUUAGAAUAGCAAAACAAUAGUGAAUAGAACAAAAAUCAUCAUUCUUGUUUCAAAUCACAAAACUUCUGAAGGGUGGUUUGUAAAAUUUUUCUUUACGAGGCUGAUUUGCAUAAAUCUUCUCUGAGAAGUUUGAAGACUUAUUAUGGACCCAAGGAUAUGCACAUCUCUUAAAAUCCUCAACUUCUUCUGAAAGUAAUCGAAGGGAGCAGGUGCUAGUUGACAUGCAACAGAUGGAGGAGAAGUGGGAACACCCAGCUGUCUCACUGAGGUCAUGCAGAAUGAAUUGUCCUGGGCUUAACAUUGAGGCACUGACACUCCACGCUGGCAAUGUAUUUUUUUUCUAGUUCUGAGUCACUACCUUAUUGACGGUGGAGUCUUCAAAAGAGCCUCCACUAUAAAGCUGUUAAAGUAUGAGUCUCUGGUGUGGGGCUGAGUGUGUGUGGGGAAAGUAACAGCAGUUUUAUUUUUUUAAUUAGGUGGGAAUUGAUUAUAGUCUUUCUUCUAGAAAGGAACACCGAAUGACUUAGUCCUAUUUGUGAAGUGUGAUGUCCCUGUUGGGCUACUGAUGUUCACAAAAGAAGGAUCACAAUGGCACUAAUCAUGACUAAGAAAAUAGCAGCAGAAACAGCGCAUGCUACUCCUAACCUGGUGGAAAUUCCUGAAGCCCGUGCCUGGGCACCACUCCCACCUAUACAGUGCCACAUUCACUCAGAAGGCUACAGAGGAAUUUGGCCAGAACAAUAUGGGUAAUUAGCACUAAAAGAUUAUUCCAAGCCCUCAUUUUAGACGAGUUUUAACUUAUUUUUUAAAUAUUUUAUUUAUUUCUUUAUUUCAGAGACAAAGAGAGAGAUAGAGAAAGAGAGUACACAAGCAUGAGCAGGAGGAGAGGCAGAGGGAGAAGCAGACUCUCCACUGAGCAGGGAGCCCAAUGUGGGGCAAAAAAUAUGGAAUGCUCCAUGAAUUUUCAGGUCAUCCUGGUAAGUUUUAACUUUUAUCUUUUUCUAAAUGCUUAACAAAGGUGCUCAAAGAAA
rnacentral:lncRNA from 12 species